rnacentral:lncRNA from 1 species
CAAUGCAUGUGAUAAUGAAUUGGAUAGGCAUAAGGCGAGAUGGAGCUACGUACGCGAGAAAUUUAGUACCAAUCGAAGCACACUAAGGCCAACCGGAAACCCUAGGAUGGAAUUACUAGUAAAGAAAACAACACAAUGGAUUAAGCAGAACAACUACGUUAUAACCAGAGAGGCAAAACUAAGCGAAUGGUGCUGCUCGAGAGAAAUAAGUACGACAACUUCCUACUAGACUAUAUAAAGACAACCCAACCUGAGCCCAUGGAUAAAGAUCCGACCUGGCAACUGAAAGCUGCCGUAGACAGACUCACAGCUCACAAAUUAUUUCCAAAGGUCUGGAAGCACGGUAAGGUGCAAGCACCAUCAUGCCCUAGAUUGUUUUCAUACGUUAAAAUGCACAAACAACCACCUGCACCUCG